rnacentral:rRNA from 1 species
UACGAAGGGGGCUAGCGUUGCUCGGAAUCACUGGGCGUAAGGGUGCGUAGGCGGGUCUUUAAGUCAGGGGGGAAAUCCUGGAGCUCAACUCCAGAACUGCCUUUGAUACUGAGGAUCUUGAGUUCGGGAGAGGUGAGUGGAACUGCGAGUGUAGAGGUGAAAUUCGUAGAUAUUCGCAAGAACACCAGUGGCGAAGGCGGCUCACUGGCCCGAUACUGACGCUGAGGCACGAAAGCGUGGGGAGCAAACAGG